rnacentral:rRNA from 1 species
UAGGCUCCAGAGUAGACUAUGUUAAACACCUUACAAACAAAAGACAAAACUAAUUAGUCCCUACUCUACAUGCCUUUGGUUGGGGCGACCGCGGGGAAAUAAAAAACCCCCACGUGGAUCGGGAGCACAACCCUCCCAAAACCAAGGACCACACUCCUAAGUCACAGAACUUCUGACCAAACAUGAUCCGGCGUCAAGCCGAUCAACGAACCUAGUUACCCUAGGGAUAACAGCGCAAUCCCCUUUUAGAGCCCAUAUCGACAAGGGGGUUUACGACCUCGAUGUUGGAUCAGGACAUCCUAUUGGUGUAGCCGCUAUUAAG